rnacentral:rRNA from 1 species
GAUGAACGCUGGCGGCGUGCCUAAUACAUGCAAGUCGAGCGAACAGACGAGGAGCUUGCUCCUCUGACGGUAGCGGCGGACGGGUGAGUAAAACGUGGAUAACCUACCUAUAAGACUGGGAUAACUUCGGGAAACCGGAGCUAAUACCGGAUAAUAUAUUGAACCGCAUGGUUCAAUAGUGAAAGACGGUUUUGCUGUCACUUAUAGAUGGAUCCGCGCCGGAUUAGCUAGUUGGUAAGGUAACGGCUUACCAAGGCAACGAUGCGUAGCCGAACUGAGAGGAGGAGCAGCAACACUGGAACUGAGACACGGUCCAGACGCAUACGGGAGGCCGCAGUGGGGAAUAUUGGACAAUGGGCGCAAGCCUGAUCCAGCCAUACCGCGUGGGUGAAGAAGGCCUUCGGGUUGUAAAGCCCUUUUGUUGGGAAAGAAAAGCAGCAGGUGAAUACCCCGCUGUUCUGACGGGACCCAAAGAAUAAGCACCGGCUAACUUCGUG